UACGUAGGGACCAAGCGUUGUUCGGAUUUACUGGGCGUAAAGAGCGCGUAGGCGGCCCGGAAAGUCGGAUGUGAAAACCCGGGGCUCAACCCCGGGCCUGCAUCCGAUACUCCCGGGCUGGAGGCAGGUAGGGGAGAUCGGAAUUCCUGGUGUAGCGGUGAAAUGCGCAGAUAUCAGGAAGAACACCCGUGGCGAAGGCGGUUCUCUGGGACGGUACUGACGCUGAGACGCGAAAGCGUGGGGAGCGAACAGG
rnacentral:rRNA from 1 species